UACGUAGGGUGCAAGCGUUGUCCGGAAUUAUUGGGCGUAAAGAGCUCGUAGGCGGUUCGUCGCGUCGGCUGUGAAAAUCCCCGAGGCUCAACCUCCGGGUCUGCAGUCGAUACGGGCGGACUGGAGUUCGGCAGGGGAGACUGGAAUUCCUGGUGUAGCGGUGAAAUGCGCAGAUAUCAGGAGGAACACCGGUGGCGAAGGCGGGUCUCUGGGCCGAUACUGACGCUGAGGAGCGAAAGCGUGGGGAGCGAACAGG
rnacentral:rRNA from 1 species